AGAGUUUGAUCAUGGCUCAGAUUGAACGCUGGCGGCAGGCCUAACACAUGCAAGUCGAACGGUAGCACAGAGAGCUUGCUCUCGGGUGACGAGUGGCGGACGGGUGAGUAAUGUCUGGGGAUCUGCCCGAUAGAGGGGGAUAACCACUGGAAACGGUGGCUAAUACCGCAUAACGUCGCAAGACCAAAGAGGGGGACCUUCGGGCCUCUUGCCAUCGGAUGUGCCCAGAUGGGAUUAGCUAGUAGGUGGGGUAACGGCUCACCUAGGCGACGAUCCACGGCCUACCAAGGCGAUGAUCGGUAGCUGGUUUGAGAGGGUGAUCGGUCACACUGGAACUGAGACACGGUCCCGACUCCUAGGGGAGGCAGCAGUGGGGAAUAUUGGACAAUGGGCGCAACCCUGAUCCAGCCAUGCCGCGUGAAUGAAGAAGGCCUUAGGGUUGUAAAGCUCUUUCACCGGUGAAGAUAAUGACGGUAACCGGGAGAAUAAGCUCCGGCUAACUCCUGUGCCAGCAGCCGCGGUAAUACGGAGGGUGCACAGCAGCCGCGGUAAUACGGAGGGAGCAAGCGUUAAUCGGAAUACUGGGCGUAAAGCGCACGUAGGCGGCUAUUCAAGUUAGAGGUGAAAGCCCGGGGCUCAACCCCGGAACUGCCUUUGAAACUAGAUAGCUUGAAUCCAGGAGAGGUGAGUGGAAUUCCGAGUGUAGAGGUGAAAUUCGUAGAUAUUGGGAGGAACACCAGUGGCGAAGGCGGCUCAUGGACGAUACUGACGCUGAGGUGCGAAAGCGUGGGGAGCAAACAGGAUUAGAUACCCUUAGUCCACGCCGUAAACGAUGACAUGCCAGCCGUUGGGGUGCAUGCACUUCGGUGACGCAGCUAACGCAUUAAGCAAUGCCGUAGCUAACGCAUUAAGUAUGCCGGAGCUAACGCGUUAAACGCGCCACCUGGGAAGUACGAUCGCAAGACUUGAACUGGGAGUACGUUCGCAAGAACGAAAACUCUUGGAAAUUGAGGGGGCCCGCACAA
rnacentral:rRNA from 1 species